GCUAGCGUUGCUCGGAAUCACUGGGCGUAAAGCGCACGUAGGCGGAUUGUUAAGUCAGGGGUGAAAUCCUGGAGCUCAACUCCAGAACUGCCUUUGAUACUGGCGAUCUCGAGUCCGGGAGAGGUGAGUGGAACUGCGAGUGUAGAGGUGAAAUUCGUAGAUAUUCGCAAGAACACCAGUGGCGAAGGCGGCUCACUGGCCCGGUACUGACGCUGAGGUGCGAAAGCGUGGGGAGCAAACAGG
rnacentral:rRNA from 1 species